CUUGUGUGCCCUUUUCUGGUUGACCCUGUAGGGUUUAAGGCACACUGCAGCUGGCCCUGCCGCGUGCGGGGCCUGUUGCAGCAGGCUGUGCGAUUUAGGGGCCCGCGUGGAGUUUAAGGUCCCUUGCAGCUGGGCCUGUGAGGUUUGAUGGCCCAUUGCUGCUCCGCCCGUGUGCUUUAGGGAGCACUAUGGAAUUUAAGACCGCUUGCAUCUGGAUCUGUGGGGUUUAGAUUACACUGUGGGGCUAAGGGUCCCAUGUAGCUAUCUCUGUCUGAUUUAGGGAGCCCUGUGGGAUUUAGGGCCCCAAACAGGUGGCAUUGUGGGGUUUAGGGAGCCUCGUGGGAUUUAGAGGUCUCAUGUAGUUGGCGCUGUGGGGUUUGGUUCAGCUGGCCCCAUGGGACUGGCAGGCCCUGUGGGUUUAGGGCCCCUUGCACCAGCCCCUGAGGAUUUUGAAGUCUUGAGGGGACAGGCACUAUGUGGGUUUGGUGUGCAGCUGGUGACAGAGGGUCAGUGCAAGGAGCAUGUGUUGAGUCCUGCUCCUCUCCAGCAGCAGAAGUUCCUCACUUGGGUUGGGACCAGGCCUGGAUGGGGGUCAGGGGCCCUUCCUCACUCUACCCUGCUGAGCUACUGCGUCUCACCUGUGCUGUCUGAGUCACAUAUUCCUCGAGAAGAGGGUAACCACAGGAGACAAAAAAAAAAGGUAGGAGUGAGGGGAAGAAAACAACAAAAGAAUUUUGCAAAUCCUUCUGAUCUGGAGCAGCAGGCAUAAAGCAACAAGGAAAAUACUGAUUGAUUAAGGAUGCUGUAUAUAAGAAAUCCAAGAGGACUGGGUGAUGGGGCGUGUCUGGAUGCUGUUAGUUCAUCUGCAUGUAAACAAGAGAACUUCAGUUUAUUCACCCACUACGUACUGCAACCAAAUUACCCAUCAGCAGCUUUCAAGAUGACAGGAAUUUUGACAGCUUGCAAAGUGGUGAAGACUUUGAAAGGCAAAUUGAAGUUUUGCAAUGUGUCUGCUGAUCACUGGAGUUUCUCAAGGACAGGUCCCAGGCUGUUGAGCAUCAAGGCGCAGACAGCGAACUUGGUGCUGGAAGAUGGGACGAAGAUGAAGGGCUAUUCUUUUGGCUAUCCAUCCUCCACAGCAGGGGAAGUCGUAUUCAACACUGGGCUCUCUGGAUACACCGAAGCCUUGACAGAUCCCAGCUACAAAGGACAGAUUCUUACCCUGGCUAACCCCAUAGUUGGGAAUGUUGGAGUGCCUGACACAGCCACUUUGGAUGAAAUGGGCCUCAAGAGGUUCCUGGAGUCUGAUGGGAUCAAGGUUUCAGGUUUGCUGGUGCUGGACUACAGCAAAGAGUACAGCCACUGGCAGGCUGCUAGGAGCCUGGGGGAAUGGUUGCAAGAGGAACAGGUGCCUGCACUGUAUGGGAUUGAUACUAGAAUGCUGUCCAAAUUAAUUCGUGACAAGGGCACAGUACUUGGGAAGAUUGAAUUUGAAGGUCAACCUGUGGAGUUUGCAGACCCAAAUAAACAAAACUUAAUUGCAGAAGUUUCUACAAAGGAAGUCAAAGUUUAUGGCAGAGGGAAUCCAAUUAAAGUUGUAGCUGUUGACUGUGGGUUGAAGCACAACAUUAUCCGUCUGCUAGUUAAGCGAGGUGCAGAAGUACAUUUAGUUCCAUGGGAUCAUGAUUUCACCAGCAUGGAUUACGAUGGGCUCAUAAUUUCUGGAGGACCAGGGGAUCCCAUGAUGGCCCAGGAGGUGAUUCAGAAUGUCAGAAAGGUUCUGGAGAGCGAUCGCCCAGAGCCCCUGUUUGGAAUUAGCAUGGGGCAUCUAAUCACUGGAAUAGCAGCUGGAGCUACUUCCUACAAGAUGCAGAUGGCCAACAGAGGCCAGAACCAGCCUGUCCUGAAUGCAGUGAAUGGACAGGCUGUCAUCACUGCUCAGAACCACGGCUAUGCCAUUGACAGCUCUACCCUCUCAUCUGGCUGGAAGCCUCUCUUUGUGAACGCCAACGACCAAACGACUGAGGGAAUUAUGCAUGAGACCAGACCAAUUUUCACAGCACAGUUCUAUCCAGAUGCAAAUCCUGGGCCCAGAGACACAGAGUUCCUUUUUGAUUCUUUCAUUUCCCUGGUUAAGAGUGGGAAAGGCAGUACCAUUUCCUCAGUUCUGCCCAAGGCUGGAGUGACUGCUUCCAGAGUAGAGGUCUCCAAAGUUCUCAUUCUAGGAUCCGGGGGUCUGUCGAUUGGUCAGGCAGGGGAAUUCGAUUACUCUGGAUCCCAGGCUGUAAAAGCCAUGAAGGAAGAAAAUGUGAAAAUUGUCCUCAUGAAUCCCAAUAUUGCUUCAGUGCAGACCAAUGAGACUGGCUUAAAGCAGGCUGAUGCUGUCUACUUCCUCCCCAUCACUCCACAGUUUGUCACAGAGGUCAUCAAGGCUGAGCGUCCCGAUGGAAUAAUUCUGGGCAUGGGUGGCCAGACUGCUCUCAACUGUGGAGUGGAACUCUUCAGGCAAGGAGUCCUGCAGCAGUAUGGUGUGAAGGUUCUAGGUACAUCAGUUGAAUCCAUCAUGGCUACAGAGGAUAGAAAGCUCUUUUCUGAUAAAAUGACUGAGCUAAAUGAAAAGAUUGCUCCUAGCUUUGCAGUGGAAUCGGUUGAAGAGGCUCUGAAGGCAGCUGAAAACAUUUGCUUCCCAGUCAUGAUACGUUCUGCCUAUGCCCUUGGUGGUCUGGGGUCAGGCAUAUGUCCUGAUAAGGAAAGUUUGCUGGACCUUGGUACAAAGGCAUUUGCAAUGACUAACCAAAUUCUGGUGGAAAAGUCAGUCGUUGGCUGGAAGGAGAUAGAAUAUGAAAUUGUGAGAGAUGCUGCUGAUAACUGUAUUGCUGUCUGCAAUAUGGAAAACAUUGAUGCUAUGGGAGUCCACACAGGAGAUUCUGUUGUGGUGGCUCCAAGCCAGACACUCACUAAUGAGGAGUUUCAGAUGCUGAGGGAUUGUGCCAUCAAAGUUGUCCAACAUUUGGGUAUUGUGGGAGAGUGUAAUAUCCAGUUUGCUCUGCAUCCAACUUCCCUGGAGUACUACAUUAUUGAAGUUAAUGCCAGACUCUCGAGAAGUUCAGCUUUGGCCUCCAAGGCGACAGGGUAUCCAUUAGCCUUCAUUGCUGCCAAAAUUGCCCUGGGGAUUCCCUUGCCAGAAAUCAAGAACGUUGUGACAGGAAAAACCUCUGCCUGCUUUGAGCCCAGCCUCGAUUACAUUGUUACCAAAAUACCCCGCUGGGAUUUGGACCGUUUUCAGCAUACAUCCAGCCGGAUUGGAAGCUCCAUGAAGAGUGUGGGGGAGGUCAUGGCUGUUGGACGCACUUUUGAAGAGAGCUUUCAGAAGGCCCUGAGGAUGUGCCACCCCUCAGUAGAUGGCUUCACUUCACGUCUGCCUGUGAAUAAAGCCUGGCCAGCCAUCGUAGAUCUCCAGAAGGAGCUUUCUGAGCCAUCCAGCAUUCGAAUAUAUGCAAUAGCCAAGGCCUUGGAUAACAAAGUCCCUGUGGAUGUCAUUCACAAACUCACGGCCAUUGACAAGUGGUUCCUGUAUAAGAUGCACAGCAUUGUGAACAUGGAGAAGAUCCUGAAGGAAGUGAACAGUGAAACAGUUCCGGAAGAGACACUGAGAAGAGCCAAACAGAUGGGGUUCUCCGACAAACAGAUUGGGAAAUGCCUGAGGUUGACUGAAGCCCAGUGCCGUCAGCUGAGGCUGAGGAAGAACAUAGUGCCCUGGGUGAAACAGAUUGACACACUGGCAGCAGAAUACCCAGCAGUGACUAAUUACCUCUACAUCACGUACAAUGGGCAGGAACAUGAUGUAAAAUUUGAUGACUGUGGAGUGAUGGUGUUGGGCUGUGGACCAUAUCACAUAGGCAGCAGCGUGGAGUUUGAUUGGUGUGCUGUUUCCAGUAUCCGCACGCUGCGUCAGCUUGGCAACAGGACCGUCGUGGUGAAUUGCAACCCGGAGACAGUAAGCACGGAUUUUGAUGAGUGUGACAGACUGUACUUUGAGGAGCUGUCAUUGGAAAGGAUCUUGGACAUCUACCAGUAUGAGGGAUGCAGUGGCUGCAUUAUUUCUGUAGGAGGGCAGAUUCCCAAUAACUUGGCAGUGCCACUUCAUCAGAGUGGAGUGAAGAUCCUUGGUACAAAUCCUCUGCAGAUUGACCAGGCAGAAGAUCGCUCCCUAUUCUCAGCUGUUCUGGAUGAGCUGCAUGUGGCCCAGGCUCCCUGGAAGGCUGUGAACACACUGAGAGACGCAGUUGAAUUUGCAAGCUCAGUGAGUUACCCGUGUUUGCUGAGGCCCUCCUAUGUUCUGAGUGGGUCCUCAAUGAAUGUGGUAUUCACUGAAGAGGAAAUGAAGAAUUUGUUAGCAGAAGCCACCAGAGUCUCUCAGGAUCACCCUGUGGUGCUCACUAAAUUUAUUGAAAAUGCCCGUGAGGUGGAAAUGGAUGCUGUAGCUAAGGCAGGAAGAGUUAUUUCACAUGCUAUUUCGGAGCAUGUGGAGGAUGCAGGUGUUCACUCUGGAGAUGCCACCCUCAUGUUACCCACACAGACCAUUAGCCAGGGAGCCUUGGAGAAGGUAAAAUCUGCUACAAAAAAAAUUGCAAAUGCCUUUGCCAUCUCUGGUCCGUUCAACAUCCAGUUCUUGGUGCGAGGCAACGAUGUGCUGGUGAUAGAGUGCAACUUGCGGGCUUCACGUUCCUUCCCCUUUGUAUCGAAGACUCUGGGUGUGGACUUCAUUGAUGUGGCCACUAAAGUGAUGAUUGGAAAAGAGGUUAAUGAGUCAUCCCUCCCCACAUUGGAACAUCCUAUUAUUCCAUCCAAAUAUGUUGGGAUUAAGGCCCCAGUGUUCUCAUGGUCCCGGCUGAGAGAUGCUGACCCUGUUCUCCGAUGUGAAAUGGCCUCUACUGGGGAGGUGGCAUGCUUUGGGGAGAACGUGUAUUCUGCUUUCCAGAAGGCUAUGCUUGCCACAGGGUUUACAUUUCCAAAGGAAGGAAUUUUGAUUGGAAUCCAGAAGUCCUUCCGCCCCAGGUUCCUCAGCAUAGCAGAACUACUGCAUGAGGAAGGCUUCAAGCUUUAUGCCACAGAAGGAACCUCAUACUGGCUCAAUGCUAAUGGUAUCCCAGCAAAUCCUGUGGCAUGGCCAUCUCAGGAAAGCCAGAGUCUGAGCCUCCCUCCAGUCAGGAGGCUGGUGAGGGAUGGGAAAAUAGAUCUGGUGAUUAACCUGCCCAACAGCAAGACCAAGUUUGUCCAUGAUAAUUAUGUGAUUCGGAGGAUGGCUAUUGACAGUGGGAUUGCUCUUCUCACUAACUUCCAGCUCAUUUGGAUAUCCAAACACCUGAUGCCUCAGCAGUAGUGCCUCUUGAGGAGUAUCUCCUGUGCAGUUUUCAAGUGGACAGCAAAACAUGGCUGUUAGAGCUUUGCACAGGUAUGUGAAUUGUGCCUCCAACAGUGCUUCACCUUCCCUGCAAACCUUGCUCGGUGCUAAGGACUGCUGGCAUUAUCCAAAGGAGUGAUGUGCUGUUCAGAGUCUGUACACCCAGCAUGCCACAGGGUGCCAGGAGAAACAAAACAUACUGGAAAAGGGGAGCAUGGAAAUUGAGGAAAAUCAGCAUGGUCUUGAAUAGACUAUUUUCUUUUGUUUGUGUUCAGGAUAACCCCUGUCCCUCAGUAAUAUGAGAAUCUCCCGCAACCCUGGAGGAGGUGCUCAUGUCUGGAGUUUCUGAUCCUGGGUGGUGGUGAGCAAGAGGAUUUAUAUCACAGCAUGGUGUGUUGAGCUACUCAGACAUGAAGAUGUGCCUUCCAUGCCCUCAAGCAGAGUUAGAUAAGUGGUUUGACCUCCAUUUGCUUCAACCUGCAAGAUUGUUCCUUGAUCCCUCACAUCGUGGAUGUGCAGAAAAGGCUGAAAGUCCACUUUCUGUGUGUGUGUUCACGGAAAAGAUGAAAGGAAAACAAGAAAAGCAAAAAGUGCUUUAUAAUUUGCAGUCCUGGGAGUUGCACAUUUCAGAUCUUCGUAUAUGUUCUUUUAGAAAAAUGUGCAAAUGUAUCUCUUCUUCAUUUGGCAGACAAAAAGGCUGCCUUGUACAAUACCUCUCAUGGAAGACUUCAGUUUGAAUGGGGCUAGUCUAACAGGGCAAAGAGCCAAACCAGGACAUCAUCAUACAGUGGGAAAAUUUUGAGUAACAGCAAUGGUCGUUGUUAAUCAAAGACUGUUAUCACUGGAAAAAUGGAGGUCAGUGAUUUAAGAGCAUCUUGCAGAAAAGAUUUGGAGGAUUUCAUGUUGCUUCUCUUUAACUUUUCCUUUCAGAGCAGGAGCCAAACCCAAGAGUUGUGAAUGUGCAGAAGUGGACACUGAUAACACCCAUCCCACGUGCACGGUGAAGGUUGUGCCAGCGACAACUACAAGAAGAGCUGUCUGCUUGGGUGGUUUCAGAGGCUAUCUACACCCAAAGAAAGGCAAGAUAAAUCUAAAGUUUCUGUUGUCAUUAGUGG